rnacentral:lncRNA from 1 species
AUAGUUUUAAAGUUUAUUAACAAAAUGAUUUUCCCCUCCAUGAAUGUGGUUGAGACUCUGGGGAACAUGUCUGUUUCUGUGAAUUUUAUGCUCAGUUGGUUAGGAAACCCUGAGAAGAAACCGAUACACCUCAUUCUCUCAUCCACUUGGCUUUUAUAAACAUCAUACUCCUUCUUUCAAAAGGAUUGCUAAAGAUAAUAGCAGCUUUUGGUUUGAGAAAAUUCUUAGAUGGUAUAGGCUUUAAGAUCAUUGGUUACCUGGAGAGGGUGGGCGUCUCUCUCUGCACCAGCAGUCUCCUCACUGUGGUCCAGGCCAUCAUCCUCAGUCCCAGAGCAUCUGGGUGGAGGAGACUCAGGACAAUGUCUGCAUGGCACAUCCUUCCAUAAUUCUCACUCUUUUGAAUAUUCAAUUGUUUAAUAAUGAUCGUAAUCCAUUCCAUUAGAAGUACAAGUCUGAAUAUAUCACAGCAUAAGAAUGGUGACAAUAUUGUUAUUUUACAUUAGAAAUUUAGAAAAUGAAACGGAUGUUUCUUCCUUUCAUGGUCCUGAGAGAAGCAGUGUUUCAGGGUACCAUGGGAGGGACCAGGGGCUACAUGGUAUUUCUUCUCCACAAGCACCACCAGCAUGUCCUCUACCUUCUCAACCCCAAGCUUCUCUACAGAACUCCCCUGAGCUGAGAGCUGCUCAAAGUAAGAGAAUCUGAGAAAAUGUUUCUCUCAUUUAUAGGUUUAAGAUAAGUGUGGGAAAAAACUCUCAGUUCUACACUAUUGUG